rnacentral:rRNA from 1 species
GACGAACGCUGGCGGCGUGCUUAACACAUGCAAGUCGAACGGUAAGGCCCUUCGGGGUACACGAGUGGCGAACGGGUGAGUAACACGUGGGUGAUCUGCCCUGCACUUCGGGAUAAGCCUGGGAAACUGGGUCUAAUACCGGACAGGACCACUGCCUGCAUGGGUGGUGGGGGAAAGCUUUUGCGGUGUGGGAUGGGCCCGCGGCCUAUCAGCUUGUUGGUGGGGUGAUGGCCUACCAAGGCGACGACGGGUAGCCGGCCUGAGAGGGUGACCGGCCACACUGGGACUGAGAUACGGCCCAGACUCCUACGGGAGGCAGAAGUGGGGAAUAUUGCACAAUGGGCGCAAGCCUGAUGCAGCGACGCCGCGUGAGGGAUGACGGCCUUCGGGUUGUAAACCUCUUUCAGCACCGACGAAGCGCAAGUGACGGUAGGUGCAGAAGAAGGACCGGCCAACUACGUGCCAGCCGCCGCCGUAA